AAGACACUCCUUCACAAUGAAGCAAGAGUCGUUUUCGCCCGCACCAAUGGGAGGUUUGACUUGAUGGACUCAGCCAAGCCCUAAUGGUGUUAAACCAUUUUCAGCAACGCUCGCAGACUGUCCUGGAGGACAACACUGUUAAUGCAGACAUGCUGUCACUGUUUCAGAUGUUAACUCUGAUUGUCCUCAGGGCUUUGUGUGUGUACGGUACAGGUCAUCUAGAGCAACCUCAAAUUUCCAGUACCAGAAAGCUGUCUAAAACAGCUCACCUGGAAUGCAUGGUAUCCGGUGUAACAAUUUCUACCACAUCUGUAUAUUGGUAUCAAGAAAGACCCGGUCAAGCCAUACAGCACCUGCUACACAUUUUCUCUAACAACACCGUCAAAAGUGAAUCAGGCAUUCUGUUGAGCAAGUUUGAGGCACACACGACCCCUGAAACUUCUACAUCAACCCUCACCGUUCACAAUGUGCGGGAACAAGACUCUGCCACCUACUACUGUGCCCUCUGGGAUGUGCACGGCAGAAGACAUUAGAGUCAUGCCAUUCAAUAAAUGGU